rnacentral:rRNA from 1 species
UACGUUCCCGGGCCUUGUACACACCGCCCGUCAAGCCAUGGAAGUCAGGGAGACCUGAAGCCGGUGACUGUCAAAGGAGCCGUCUAGGGUAAACUGGUAACUGGGGCU